CGUCAGGCAGCUCCUGGAGAUCGAACCUUUCGAUUGUAACUGGGACAAUUUGCAUAGUGAUUCCCUUUCAGUGCUUUCCCGGGUCCGUAACAAGCCCAGGCAGCUAUUCAAAUGCAAGAUGCAACCCCAAAUGCAAGACUGGCCCGACCAAAAAGAGCCAUACGGAGCCCGGGAGAAGCGAGACCGUUGCUCUGGAUCUCAUCCUUCUCUCUUCUUCUUUCUUCUCUCUUUCUCUUCUCGGGUUCCUGAUUUAGCUGGGAGCUGUUUAUUUAUGGCUGCAAAUGUGUGCGUGCGAGAGAAAGGGGGAAUUGAUCUUUGCCUGGACUUAAAGAUGGAGCCGAAGACGCUGGAGGGAAUUUGGGUUUGUGCGCCUAGCUCAGACCCCGGGCGCCGAAGGGGGCCGUUUGGCACGAAGCCCGAGGUCUCUCAUUUCCGCACUCCUCACCUCGCGACCUUGCAGCAAUCUGUGGGCCCUGGAGCUGCCUGGUUGACCCACCUGCCCGGGGCCGAGCUGCCGAGAAAGGCUUCAUGGAGGGAGCCAUCCCGUCCCUGUCUUUAAAAUGAGAGCAAUAAAAGGGGUCAAAUCCUUAAACGCGAACCUGAUCACUUGUCACAGAAGCAACUUGCCAUGAAAUCCGCUAAUGCGCAGCGACUCGCCCACCAGGAUAGAUAACCCUGGCGUUGGUGUAACCAGCGCGCGCGCGCAAUGCAGUCGUGUUCCUCGAAUGCGCGCCCCGCCGGCCACACUUGGAGAAUCCAGCCCACAGUGGUUUCGGAAACCCCAUUUUCCUGAUUGCAUCCCAGGCUCUGGAACCCCGCGAGCCUUCCGGGGGAGGGAGCCCCAUCCGGGCCAAGUAGUGGAUCUCACACACACACACACACACACACACACACACACACACACACACACACACGGAGGCAGUGCUUCGUAGGAUCGAAGAUCCAGGGUGGCUAGAUGGGGGUCUGGGAGGCUACGACUGAGGGAGGCCCUGGCGCUGCCAGAGUUGUGCAACCACUAAAGCAGCGCAAUCCUGAUAAUUAUUUUGGGAAGAAAGACCUGGGACCUAGGUUUGAGCUAAAGAGGGUAGGGGCAAGUGACAAAUGACCGAGCAUUUCUUUGGAAUGAGGGGGAACUGAGAACUACCCAGCUGGCCCGGAGUUGCCGCAAUCUGGACAUUAGGAAAUAUAUUCUCCUCGCACACACAGCAGCACACAUCUCUGAUGGCAAGAUCACCCCUGCCCAGGGAGCCUCUGGCUCGGCCACUGCACCUCCCAACUGCUUUUUCAGCCUCCUUCAGGUUUUACCAGGCAAAUGAAACAAGAAGAACUCGAUAGUAAAUUAUUUUAUUCAGACUUCUGUCUUUUUAUGAAAAUAAAAGGCAACACUUUGUCAUUUUUAAUCAUAUAAGCAGACAAUAAACCUAAUUUCGAUAUUGA